UACGUAGGGUGCGAGCGUUAAUCGGAAUUACUGGGCGUAAAGCGUGCGCAGGCGGUUAUGUAAGACAGAUGUGAAAUGCCCGGGCUCAACCUGGGAACUGCAUUUGUGACUGCAUGGCUAGAGUGUGUCAGAGGGGGGUAGAAUUCCACGUGUAGCAGUGAAAUGCGUAGAUAUGCGGAGGAACACCGAUGGCGAAGGCAAUCCCCUGGGCCUGUACUGACGCUCAUGCACGAAAGCGUGGGGAGCAAACAGG
rnacentral:rRNA from 1 species